UACGUAGGGGGCAAGCGUUGUCCGGAAUCAUUGGGCGUAAAGCGCGUGUAGGCGGUCCGGUAAGUCCGCUGUGAAAGUCGGGGGCUCAACCCUCGGAUGCCGGUGGAUACUGUCGGGCUUGAGUACGGAAGAGGCGAGUGGAAUUCCUGGUGUAGCGGUGGAAUGCGCAGAUAUCAGGAGGAACACCAACGGCGAAGGCAGCUCGCUGGGACGGUACUGACGCUAAGGCGCGAUAGCGUGGGGAGCGAACAGG
rnacentral:rRNA from 1 species